rnacentral:rRNA from 1 species
AUUGAACGCUGGCGGCAUGCCUUACACAUGCAAGUCGAACGGUAACAGGUCUUCGGAUGCUGACGAGUGGCGAACGGGUGAGUAAUACAUCGGAACGUGCCUAGUAGUGGGGGACAACUACUCGAAAGAGUGGCUAAUAACGCAUGAGACCGAGGGAUGAAAGCAGGGCAACGCAGGCACUUGUGCUACUAGAGCGGCCGGUGGCAGAUGAGGGUGUUGGUGGGAUAAAAGCUUACCAAGCCGACGAUCUGUAGCUGAUCUGAGAGGACGAUCAGCCAAACUGGGACUGAGACACGGCCCAGACUCCUACGGGAGGCAGCAGUGGGGAAUUUUGGACAAUGGGCGCAAGCCUGAUCCAGCAAAGCCGCGUGCAGGAUGAAGGCCUUCGGGUUGUAAACUGCUUUUGUACGGAACGAAAAGCCCCGGGUUAAUACCCUGGGGUCAUGACGGUACCGUAAGAACAAGCACCGGCUAACUACGUGCCAGCCGCCGCCGUAA